rnacentral:snRNA from 1 species
GUGCUCGAUGCAGCAGCACAUGUACUAAAAUUAGAAUGAGACAGAGAAGAUUAGCAUGGCCCCUGCGCAAGGGUGACACGC